rnacentral:tRNA from 1 species
GGGGGUGUAGCUCAGUAGUAGAGUGGUUGGCUUGCAUGCCAGAGACCCUGGUUCAAUCCCCAGCAUCCCCU